GAGGAACAUCCCCAGCCCUUUUUUGGUAUUUUAUUUAAAUAUAGGGUCUUGCUGAGUUUUAGAGACUCGCUAAAUUGCAGAGGCUGGCUUUGAACUCGCGAUCCUCCAGCCUCAGCCUCUCAAGCCACCACCACGCCAGAUUCAUUAACCAGUUUUAAAGAGAAGUUGCCUCUACCAAUGUUAAUGCAUGGAAUUGUGCACGUGGGAAGAGUUCAGUUAACAAUUAGCCUGUACAGUUAAAAACCUAACUCGGGGCUUUAAUCCGUCCUUUGCUUCAUCCGUGGUUAAUUAACUCAGUGAGCAGGGCAGGUCUGUGGAUCAUAUAACACUGAUUUGUUGUACCUGUGUCUCCUACGCGGAUCUCUCCUUAUUUCUUUGAGAUCCCUGGAGCCCCCUUAAAAUGAAAAUCACAUAAGCCACAUAGUUUAUAUUGUAAAUCAAACCAUCACACUCAAUAAAAUUGGUGA
rnacentral:lncRNA from 1 species